UCCAACUUCACUUGUCCUUCCUUGCCUCCUCCCAUUGCUAAUAUUCCUCCCAGUCCUCUGCAGAUGUUUUGUUAUCAUGCUACUGCAUGGUUAUUUUUCAAGUGGCUUCUUAGAGCAGAUGUUCUACAGGCACGUGCUCCUUAGCCUUCUGUUGACACUAUUUCUCUUAGAAAAGAAGCGUAUUGCUGCUUUACUCUUAAAAGGAGGAAAAAUAAAACCCAGGACUUCAAAUAAACAAACAAAUCAUUGGGGAUUUUAAAUACCUACUGAUAAUAUUAUGACAUCCCUAAUCAGCUUGGAUGUUGUUAUUAUUGCAUGCUUUACAAAGCAGCUCUUUCAAAAUAUCUCUGCUCAGAAAGCUCUAGCCACCCUAUUCAGUUGCAGAACAAAUCCUUUAACACUUAGCAAUAAAGGCUACAUGACAAAUAAAAUGUGGCAUGCAUACAUUUAAACACACGCAAUUCCACUAACAGAUUUUGAUUAUUUGCUUUAGCAAAAGAAGUCCCAAAAUAAAACAAUCAACAUUUGGUUUUAUGCUAGCAUGUAAAUUAAUGCACAGUUCAUACACUGGGGCAUGCUCUUACUUGGGCUCAGCAUCUUUCCAAGGUAUGGAAACCCCCCCUUACGAAGACAGGCUGAGAGAGCUAGGGCUGUUCACCCUGGGGAGGGGUUGGACUAGAUGGUCUUUAAAGGUCCCUUCCAACUCAAACGAUUCUGUGUUUCUCUGACCUUUCUGUUCCACUUUUAAUACAGUGUUUCAUUCUGGUUGCUAACACGGACAAGCAAGUGAGGAAAAAUUCAUUGCAGCAAAGUAUCACUGGAGGUUGGAUUUCAAAGAGAAAUGUGCAGCAAAGUAGUCAUCUGGAAAUAAAACUGGGUUGGAGGCACCACCUGGGUGGAGAAAAUAAACAAAUAUCAUACAAGUUUGGGAACCAGUGGCCAGGUUUCCCGACUUUCAAAGCAAGGAACAUACACAGAGGAGAAUUUAGAGUGGGAAUGAGUUACCCCCCUCUGAAUUAUUGCAUGGUUGUGCUGUUUGAUGUCAAGAGGCCUUUGCACUGCUCUGGAGUAGAUAUACCAGUAUUUUUCCUCCAAGCUCUGUCUCCCCAUCUGGCUCCACACUUGGUAUGUGUUAAAUUUAUUUUCAAGGAUGAUGAAAAACAUUCAAGAUGACCUAAUAGAUGUGUAUAAAAUAAUGAAGGAAGUGAUAAUGAUGUACAUGGUAAAACAUCUUCUUCCAUCCAAGUCGUUCAACAGCCAUGAAAUGUGGCAGAAAUGGUCAUAACAUAAGCAGGAAUAAAACCCAGUAAGGAUCUGUUUCAAUAAGAGAUAUAAACACCUGGAAAAAAUGGUCGCACUGGGCAACGAGAAACAAAUUGCAGUAGUAAUUUAAGUGCUUUCAAACUGUAUUUAAAAAAAAAAAAAAAAAGAAAGAAAGAAACACUGGACAGAAGGAAUGAGAUAAAUAAAGCAAGAGAAUAGAAAAGACACUUGAACGCAUCCCUGUGCAAGCUGCAUGGGGAAUAAAAGUGACUGUAAAAGAGCAACUGUUUAUUAUUAGCAGUUAUCAUCAUUUAUUUGCAUGAAGCCAAAUGUAAAUGAAGCCGAAGCCAGGUACUUACAGUGCAAUUGUAAGUACAUGCUUGCUUAUAUGCUUUACAAGAACAAAUCCUGCUUUCUCACCUUGAGCAAUGACUGUUCAAGAUGAUGGCACUGACAUAUUACGCUUGACCACUCAUGAAGUAUGCCAAACUUUCAGAGAUUAAGACUUUUACUAAGAACAUUUGCUGCUUUACUAAGAACAUUUGCUGCUUUAAAAAAAUCCUUCUGGCCUCUCAAACUGAUUUCACAGAAUCAUAGAAUGGCUUGGUUUGCAAAGGACCUCAGGAAUCAUCAAGCUCCAACCUGCCUGCUGCAGGCAGGGCUGCCAACAUCCAUAUCUAAUACUAGACCAGACUGCCCAGGGCCCCAUUCAACCUGGCUUUGAACACCCCCAGGGAUGGGAUUUAUUCCUUUUAAAGUCUGAUUUGAGCCUGAACUCCAAAUCUAAAACCUUGAAGAUGUAUAUUUUUCCCCUAAAUCUGAAACUUGGACUCUUCUCUGGUACUGACUCUUAAUUUUGGUGCCACAACAAUUUACACUUGUUAAAUGUGUGACUCUCUGUUUAUUCCCUAUAGACUGAGCUGAAAAAAAGGCAAAAUGUAACCUAUGCCUACAUAUGUUUUGAGAGAGCUUUUGAAAGUAAUAUUAAAUAAGUAAUAUUGUUAAAAGUAUGGAAGUACAUUCCGUUUCCUCUUGAAUAGCUCCACUGUCAGUUCUGUUAAUUGUUGCCCUGAGGCAAAAUGCUCAUGUGUACAGAUAAUACUACCCAAAACACACUGGAUGACAACCCUCUGUUUAUACACAGGACUUCCCUCUGUCCAAGUUUCUCUUCUACGUCAUAACAAGCUGCUUUUCAUGUUGUUCUUGACAGAUUGUGCCUCAGGGCAAGAAGCAGGGUGGUACAAGUACCUACAUGUACAGCUGACACAUGCUUUCAUCAUAUUAUAGACUUCAGUACCUUUUCAUUCUCUGUAUCUGAAAAGUGUAGCAUGAUAUAAAAGGCACAGUAUCAUUAUUUUUAACCAUUUUAUCAUCUAUUUUGCAGUUGGACUUGAUCUUUUUCCAACCUGAACAAUUCUAUGAUUCUACAAUUCUAUGAUGAGUAACAAGAGAUUAACUCAAAUGCUUACAUAUUUAAACUGCUGUUUGAGCAUUUCAAAAUUGAUACUUGCUUGUUCAAGACCUCAUUGCAACAAUUUCAGAAGAGGAUCUUCAGUAUAAAAUACUGAUUUCACUCAUUAUAACACCAGACCAUGACAGAAAUCUCUGACUUAGAUCUGUGCUGAACUUUGGCUUACCUUGAACAAAAUUUAAAUAGCAACAUGUUUUGUUUCCAGAGUAUCUCCAAUUAAUAAAUGCAUUCAUUUGAAAACACUUCACCUCAAGUUCCUCCAGGUCCACCUUUUAAAUAAAGGCCUAUUUUCUCUUCCUGACAUCAUUCGCAGCAAAGACAGAUAGAUUGUGUGCAGAGUUUAUUACAAGAUCGAUCAAGAUAAUUGAGGUAUAAUUUUCUCAGUGAUUUCUGUCAUCAUUUUUAAAGGCAGGGAUGAUUAUGUUUCUCUUUCACCCAUCUGGGAAAACACACAGUGUUCUCAUGUAAUUUGAACAUUUCAGCAAGGAUGUGAGACCAUCUUUUUGGAUGUAACUAAUAGCUCUGCCAUUAGGCCAUCCUCUCUCGAGACUUCAUUUUUCUUAUUAAUAAUCAUCAACACUAUCUCUUGUUCAGAAAAAAAAAAAAAAGAAAAAGAAAAGAAAGAGCCACACCUAAGACUUUUUCUCAUUGGCAUAACAGCCAAUUUCAAAUUUAAGAUGUGGCUUAUGCUUAUGACAAUUCAAAUGCUCCCUAUGAAAUCUCCAGAGAGAAUCCCUUUCUUUUUUCCCCACUUUUUUUUUUUUUUUUUUUAAGAAUGUUUAUUUAAGUUACUUUUGUGGGUUUUUUUUAAGGCUAUUUCAAAACUAAACUCCAAGUCCCCUAAUUUUGCUCAAGUAACCACAUGAAAUUUUCUAAUUUACACCAAUUUUUCCAUGCCAUAAUUUAAGUGAAUUAUUCUUAAUUACAUCUAACCUUUCAGUAGAACAAGAGCCUGACUGUCUACUUUGUUAUUUUUCUCUUGGUCUUUUUUUUUUUUUUUUUUUCCUUGUGUACUAUUCUGUUUUGGUAGCUGUGAUAUCCUCUAUCACAAAAAGCAUUCUGAAAAGCAUCUGAAAUACAAUUUCUUUGGUCCAAUAUUCAAUAAAUUUCUGGAUCUGUGAUGGUAAUGCUCAGUUUUACUGUCAUCACCUAUAUUCCAAUCGACUGUAACCAUUAGUACUCUACCCAGGAAUUUUGUUUCAAUCACUUUCACCUCUUAACACCCGAAAGGAAUAAGGCUUCAAGUUGAAGUUUUGGCCUUUGCUUAUUACUAAGAUAAAACCAGGACAUCAAAUAGGUUAACAACACACCCAUGACGGUAUAUUAUUGUCUAAGUAGUUUGUAUUAUUGUUUUGAAUCCUGGUUUUAUUAUUCUUCCAUAACCGACAGAGUUAAAGCAUUACUUCUGGAUAUGAGACCUGUGAUCUCCAAGGAUGUUUGUGAUGUAAAUAUACUUAAGCUUCAAGGUCCAUCUCUAAGCAUCUAUGUCCACAUUAAACAUUCUUUGUGUUAUAUAUCUAUGUACAAUUUCUGAUGUAUAAUAAACUUAUUCUGUUACAGCUUA
rnacentral:lncRNA from 1 species